rnacentral:rRNA from 1 species
GAUGAACGCUGGCGGCGUGCCUAAUACAUGCAAGUAGAACGCUGAAGCUUGGUGCUUGCACCGAGCGGAUGAGUUGCGAACGGGUGAGUAACGCGUAGGUAACCUGCCUGGUAGCGGGGGAUAACUAUUGGAAACGAUAGCUAAUACCGCAUAACAGUAGAUAUUGCAUGAUAUCUGCUUGAAAGGUGCAAUUGCACCACUACCAGAUGGACCUGCGUUGUAUUAGCUAGUUGGUGAGGUAACGGCUCACCAAGGCGACAAUACAUAGCCGACCUGAGAGGGUGAUCGGCCACACUGGGACUGAGACACGGCCCAGACUCCUACGGGAGGCAGCAGUAGGGAAUCUUCGGCAAUGGACGGAAGUCUGACCGAGCAACGCCGCGUGAGUGAAGAAGGUUUUCGGAUCGUAAAGCUCUGUUGUAAGAGAAGAACGAGUGUGAGAGUGGAAAGUUCACACUGUGACG